AUAAUGUACACAUGAUGUGUUGUUUGAGAUAAAAUCUUCCUAUAUAGGUCUGGCUGUCUGGGAAUUGUCUAUGUACAUCAAUUGGCCAUAAACUCACAGAGAUGCCUCCUGCUUCUAUCUCAAGAGUUCUGGGAUUAAACCAUUUUAAAAGAUUGUUGACAAAAAUUAUAUAUAUUCAUGAUAUUUAAAAUGACACUUUGAAAGUUAUAUAUUGUGAAAUGGUGAAAUCAGGCUAGUUAAGUCAAUAACCUCAUAUAUUUUGUGGUGAAACAUUUAAAAUUUUAGUGAUUUUUUCAAGUAUAUAAUAUUACUAUAGUUACUAUGUCACACAUUGGAUUAUUAUAUAUGAACAGUUGGUUUUCUUUAAAAAGUUAAUUAAUGUUUGGUGCUUAGGAUCGACCAAGGACCUAACUCAUGCUCUGUACCACUGAGCUAUUCCUCCCUCACAAUUGUGAACUUAGAUAAGUAUAAGACAACAGUGGACUAGGAGUGUAUCUCAGUGACUGAACACUUGUACAUUGAGGCCAUGAGUUUUGUUCUCAGAGUUUCAGAGAGUGGGGAUUGUGGGUAGACAAGAGAAAAUAUGGUAGUCAUUUUAUGGGUUGUAGAUUCAAAAGCAGCAUGAUUUCUGUGGUUAUAGUGGCACAGGCAAAGGCCAGCCUCUUUCAGGAUUAGCAUUCUCUCUUUUUAAAAGAAUUAUUUUUUAUUUUUUAAAUGGUUUUUUUCUGGUUUUCUGAGACAGGCUUCUCUGUGUAACAGCCCUAGCUGUCCUGGAAUUCACUUUGUAGAUCAGACAUGUCUCAACCUCACAGAGAUCAUCCUGCCAGUCUCCCCAUUCCUGGGAUAACAGUUGUAUGCUACAAUGUCCGGCUCUAUUUUUUAAUUUUUUUAAUUAGAAAAUUAUUUUACAUGUCAAUCCCAGGUCCCUCUCCCUCCCCUCCUCUCCUGCCCCCCCCAACAAACACCCUACCUAUCCCAUACCCUUUCUGCUCCCCAGGAGGUAAGGCCUUCCAUAGGGGUUCUUAAGUCUGUCAUAUUCUUUGGGAUGAGGCCUAGGCAGCCCCCUUGUGUCUAGGCUCAGGGAGUAUCCCUCCAUGUGGGAUGGGCUCCUAAAGUCCAUUCCUAUGGUAGUCAUAAGUAUUGAUUCCAAGGUCUCCUCACUGACACCCACAUUCAGGGGGUCUGGAUCAGUCCCAUGCUGGUUUCCCAGCUAUCCCUCUGGGAACCAAGAGUUUUCCCUUGUUCAGGUUAGCUGUUUCUGUGGGUUUCACCAGCCUGGUAUAGACCACUUUGCUCAUCAAUCCUCCUUCUCUGAAUCUGGAUUUCAGUUUAGUUCAAGGUUUAGCUGUGGGUGCCUGCUUCUACUCCCACCAGCUGCUGGCUGAAGUCUAUAUGAUGGCACAUGAAUUCGUCAUCAAUCUCAUUAUCAGGAGAGGGCAUUAAAGGUAGCCUCACCUCUGUUGCUUAGAUUGUUAGUUGGUGUCAUCUCUGUAGCUCUCCAGACAGUUCCCUAGUACCUGAUUUCUCUUUGCACUUAUAAUGUCUCACUCUAUUAUAUUAUCUCUUAUCUUGCUCUCUUCUGUUCUUCCCCCAACUCAAACUCCCUGUACCAUAAUGUCUUCCUCACCCCUUUUUUUCUUCCUUUCUCAUUCUCCUAGUUCCCCCUUCCUUCCCUCAUGCUCCCAAUUUGCUCAGCAGAUCUUGUCCCUUUCCAGGGGGCCAUGUAUGUCUCUCUUAGGGUCCUCCUUGUUUACCAGCUUCUCUGGCAGCCUGGGCUACAGGCUGGCAAUCCUUUACUCUAUGUCUAAAAUCCACAUAUGAAUAAGUACAUAUAAUGCCUGUCUUUUUGUGACUGGGUUACCUUGCUCAGAAUGGUUUCUUCUAGUUCCAUCCAUUAGCCUAUGAAUUUAAAGAUUUCAUUGCUAUUUUUCCCCACUGCAUAGUACUCCAUUGUGUAAAUGUUUCACAUUUUCUCUAUCUAUUUUUCAGUUGAGGGGCAUAUAGGUUGUUUCCAGGUUCUGGCUACUACAAAUAAGGCUGCUAUGAACAUAGUUGAAUACAUGUCCUCGUUGUAGAAAUGUGCUUCUUUUGGCUAUAUGCCUAAGAGAGGAAUUGCUGGAUCUUGUGGUAGACUGAUUGCUAUUUUUCCUGAGGAAUCGCCAUACAGAUUUCCAGAGUGGCUGUACGUGUUGGCACUCCCACUAGCAGUGGAGGAGUGUUCCCAUUUCUCCACAAACUCUCCAGCAUAAACUGUCAUUGGUGUUUUGAUUUUAGCCAUUAUGACAGGUGUAAGAUGGUAUCUCAGAGUUGUUUUGAUUUGUAUUUCCCUGAUGGCUAAGGAUUUUGAACACUUUCUUGUGUGUCUUUCAUCCAUUUUAGAUUUCUCUAUUGAGCAUUGUCUUAUUAAGUACUGUACCUCAGUUUUUAAACGUUUUAUUUAUUUAUUGUGUAUACAACAUUCUGCCUCCAAGUGUGCCUGCAGGCCAGAAGAGGGCACCAGAUCUAUUUACAGAUGGUUGUCAGCCAACAUGUGCUUGCUGGGAUUGAACUCAGGACCUCUGGAAGAGCAGGCAGUGCUCUUAACCUCUGAACCAUCUCUCUAGUUCCCCUGUACCCCACUUUUUAAUUGGAUUAUUUGAUGUUUUGGAGAUGAGCUUAAGUUAUUUGUAAAUUUUGGAGAUCAGCCCUAUGUCAGAUGUGCGGUUGGUGAAUAUCUUUUCCCAGUCUGUGGGCUGCCGUUUUGUCUUGUUGACAGUGACUUUUGCCUUAGAGAAGCUUCUCAGUUUCAGGAGGUCCCAUUUAUUAAUUGUGGAUCUCAGUGUCUGUGCUACUGGUAUUAUGUUCAGGAAUCUGUCUCCUGUACCAAUUUGUUCAAGGGUAUUUCCUACUUUUUCUUCUAAUAAGUUCAGUGUAGCUGUGGUCAUGUUGAGGACUUUGAGCCAUUUGGACUUAAGUUUUGUACAUGGAGAUAGACAAGGAUCAGUCUGCAGUCUUUUACAUGCCAGCAUCCAGUUAUGCCAGCACCAUUUAUUAAAGAUGCUUUCUUUAUUCCAUCGAAUAAAUUUAGCUUCUUUUAAAAAAUCUAUUGUUUGUAGGUGUGUGGGUUAAUAUUGGGCUUUUCAACUAUAUUCCAUUGGUCUACCUGUCUAUUAUUGUGCCAAUAACAAGCUGUUUUCAGGACUAUAGCUCUGUAAUAGAGGUUGAAGUCAGGGAUGGUGAUGCCUCUGGAAGUUCCUUUAUUGUACAGGGUUGUUUUGGCUAUCCUGGGUCUUUUGUUUAUCCAUAUGAAGUUAAGAAUUGCUCUUUCAAGUUCUGUGAAGGAUUGUGUUGGGAUUUUGAUGGGGAUUGUGUUGAAUCUCUAGAUUGCUUUUGGCAAGAUUCCCAUUUUUAGUGUGUUGAUCCUACCUAUCCAAGAACAUGGGAGAACUUUCCAUUUUUUGGUUUCUUCUUUAAUUUCUUUGUUUAGAGACAAAAAUUUCUUACAGUACAGAUCUUUCACUUUUUUGGUUAGCAUUACCUCAAGGAAUUUUAUAUUGUUUGUGGCAAUUGUAACUAUUUCUUCAUGAAUGGAUCCUCUGUAUACAGUAGUGCUACAGGUUUUUUUUGAGUUAAUCUUGUAUCCUGCCACGUUGCUGAAGGUGUUUAUCAGCUGUAGGAGUUCCCAGGUAGAGUUUUUCAGUUCACUUAUGUAGACUAUCAUAACAUCUGGAAACAGUGAAAGCUUGACUUCUUCCUUUCCAAUUUGUAUCUCCUUGAUCUUCUUUUGUUGUCUGAUUGCUCUAGCUAGAACUUCAAGGACAAUAUUGAAGAGAUAUGGAGAGAGUGGGCAGCUUUGUCUUGUUCCUGAUUUUGGAGGAAUAGCUUUGAGUUUCUCUCCAUUUAGUUUGAUGUUGGCUGUUGGCUUACUGUAUAUUGUUUUUAUUAUGUUCAGGUAUGUUCUUGUUAUUCCUGAUCUCUCCAGGUCAUAUAUCAUGAACAGACGUUGGUUUUGUCAAAGGCUUUUUUCAGAAUCUAGUGUGAUGAUCAUGUGGUAUUUCAUCUUCAGUUGCUUUAUAUGGUGGAUUACAUUGAUAGAUUUUUGAAUGUUGUACUAACCCUGCAUCCCAGGGAUGAAGCUUCCGUGAUCAUGGUGGAUGAUUUUUUUAAAUAUACUUGGAUUCGGUUUGCUAGUAUUUUAUUCAGUAUUUUUGCAUCUAUGUUCAUGGGGUAUAUUGUUCUGUAGUUCACUUUCUUAGUUGUGUCUUUGUGUGGCUUGGGUAACCAAGGUAAUUGUAGCCUUGUAAAAAGAGUUUGGCAAUGAACAUUCUGCUUCUAUUGUGUGAAACAAUUCAAAAAGUAUUGGUAUUAGCUCUUAUUUGAAUUUCUGGUGGAAUUCUACACUGAAGCCAUCUGUCCCUGGCCUUUUAUUGGUUGGGAGACAUUUGAUGACUUCUUCUGUUUAUUUAAAGGUUAUGGGCCUGUUUAAGUUGGCUAUCUCUUUUGAUUCAAUUUUGGGUAAGUGAUAUCUGUCCAAAAAAUUGUACAUUUCUUUUAAAUUUUUGAAUUUUGUGGAGUACAGGUUUUCAAACUAUGACCUCAAGAUUCUCUGGAUUUGCUUUAAAUUUUUGAAUUUUGUGGAGUACAGGUUUUCAAACUAUGACCUCAAGAUUCUCUGGAUUUGCUUUAAAUUUUUGAAUUUUGUGGAGUACAGGUUUUCAAGUAUGACCUCAAGAUUCUCUGGAUUUCCUAAGUGCCCUCCUUUUCAUAUCUGAUUUUGUUAAUUAGCAUGCUCUCUCUGUCUCUCUGACUUUUGGUUAGUUUGGAUAAAGUUUUGUCCAUCUUGCUGAUUUUUCUUGAAGAACCAACUCUUUGUUACAUUGAUUCUUUCAAUUUUUUUCGUUCUUUCAACUUUAUUGAUUUCUGCCCUCAAUUUGAUUAUUUCCUGUUGUCUACUCCUCCAGGGUGAAUUUGCUUCUAUUUGUUCCAUCUGUGAUGUCAUAUCUCUGGUGUGACUAUUCUCUAGUUUCUUCAUGUGAGCUCUUAGAAUUAUGGACUUUCCUCUUAGUACUGCUUUCAAAGUGUCCCAGAAGUUUGGGAAUGUUGUGUCUUCUUUUUCGUUGAAUUCAAGAAAGUCUUUAAUUUCUUUCUUUAUUUCUUCCUUGACUCAGGAAUGGUGCAAUUGCAUGUUGUUCAAUUUCCAUGAGUUUGUAGGUUUUCUGCAAUUUGUGUUGUUUUUGAUUUCUAACUUUAAGGCAUGGUGGUCUAAUAAGACACAGGCCAUUUUCCCAACUUUUUUGUACCUGUUGAGCUUUGCUAUGUUGCUGAGUAUGUGAUGCUGAAAAGAAGAAAUAUUCUUUUGUGUUUGGAUGGAAAGUUCUAUAGAUGUCUGUUAAUCCCAAUUGGGUCAUAGCUUCUGUUAGUUCCUUUGUCUCUUUGUUAAGUUUCUGUCUGGUAGUCCUGUCCAGUGGUGUGAGUGGGGUGUUGAAGUCUCCCAGUAUAACUGUGUGAGGUCCUGUUUGUGAUUUGAGUUUUAAUAAUGUUUCUUUUAUGAAUGUUGAUGCCUUUGUAUUUGGGGCAUAGAUGUUUAGAAUUGAGACUUCUUCCUGAUGGAAUUUUCCUGUGAUGAAUAUGAAAUGCCCUUCUUCAUCUCUUUUGAUUGAUUUUAGUUUGAAGUCUAACUUGCUAGAUAAUAGGGUAGCUAGCCAAGCUCAUUUCUUGGGUCCAUUUGAUUGGAAUAUCUUAUCCCAACACUUUCCUCUGAGGUAAUGUCUGUUUUGAAGUUGAUGUGUGUUUCUUGUAUGCAGCAGAAGGAAGGAUUCUGUCUCUGUAUCCACUCUGUAAGACUGUGUCUUUUGAUAGGCGAGUUAAGACCAUUAAUAUUGAGGAAAAUUAAGGACCAUUGAGUGCUUAUUCUUGUUUGUUUUUUAUUUGGUGUUGGUAGUGGUAUUGUAGGUGGAUUUACCCUGCUUUUUUGGGGGGGUUGAUAAAGUGGGAUUAUCUAUUGCCUAUGUUUUUUGUGUGUAGUAAAUUUCCUUAGGUUGUAGUUUUCCUUCCAAUACUUUCUGUAGGGCUGGAUUAGUGGUUAUACAUUGUUUAAAUAUGGUUUUGCCAUUGAAUGUCUUAUUUUCUCCAUUUAUAGUGACUGAAAUCUUUGCUGGGUAUAGUUUUCUGGGCUGGCAUCUGUAUUCUCUUAGAGUUGGUAGAAUAUCUAUCCAGGUCCUUCUGGCUUUCUGAGUUUCCAUUCAGAAGUCCCGUCUACUUUAUAUGUUACUUGGCCUUUUUCCUUUGCUGCUAUUAAUGUUCAUUGUUUAUUCUGUAUGUUUUGUGUUUUAUUAUGUGAUGAUGGGACUUUCUUUUGUGGGGCAAAUCUGGCUCUAUUAUUUUAGUGUUAUAAGUGCAUGUAAGUAUGAGCACUGUAUGUGUGGCUGGUUCCUGAUGAAGCCAGAAGAGGGCGCCAGAUUAUUUGGAACUGGACUUGCACAGAUGGUUGUAAGCCUUAUGUGUUCAAGGUGUGUUGAACCCUUUUCCUCAAGAAGAAUAGCAGGUGCUCUUAGCUGCUGAGUCAGGUCUCUAGCCCAGUAAUUGGGAAUCUCUUAAUGAACCCUUUUUCAAAUAACUAGUAUACCUUUGCUUUUCUGUCAGUGUAUCCUGUCAUUCUCAGAUUACAGUAGGGUGGUGAGUUUCCCAGAGAGACAGUGCUUACUAAAAUAUUUGCCCUGUAGGAAAGAGGAGCCCGCAUUUUAUCAUCUUCAGAAAACAGGUGAGAGACACCUAUUAGAAUUUUUGUGAUUAUUAUUUAUUAUAGCAAAGUACUCCGUGAAAUAUUUGAUAUGGAUGGAGUGAGCAAAUGAUUUGCUGAUUUACUUAGUAAAUUAAAUUUAUCACAUGGGUGUUAGAGUGCAUACCUAUAAUCCCAGAACUCAGAUAGCUGGGCCAGAAAGAUAAAGAGUUUGAGGCUCUCUUAGCAUACACAUUAAGAUCCUGUCUAUAAAAGUAAAUUAAAGGUUUCAAAAUUUCUGAUUCCUAGGCAUCUCUUAGGAAAAUUACCUCACAGAUGAGUACCCAGAAUCUAUGUUUUUAGAAAAAGAUUUUUAAAAGUGUGUGUGGAGGGGGGGGAGGUGUUGCCUUAGAGGCCAGAACAGCAUUCCAUUAGAUCCUGAGUUACAUGUAGUUUGGAGCCACUCAAUGUGGGUGCUGGCGGCUUUGGAAAACCAGGAAGUGCUCUUAACCAUUGAACCAUCCCCCCAGCCUUGAGAAACUGUAUGGUUAAAGAAUGUUUUCAGGUGAGGUAUUCUUAUAUAAUAGAUAUAGUAGUGUCCAAUGACAGGUUUGAUAGUCACAAUGUUUAGGGUAGUUAUCAAAAAAUGUUAAAUAACACCAAAUAUACACAGAAAAGAAUCAACAAAUAUAUUGAAAGAUUUUAUAAAUGUAUCAGGAUAUAUUUUACUUACUUAAAAAUCCUUUUUAUGAAACUGACACCUUAAUUUUUUCCUCCUCAUAACAAUGAACAGUAAACUUUGCCUCAUGGAUCCCCAUGUAUAUUUCCAAGCAGGAAUCUGUGAAAAAUCUGUGAAAAUUUGAGGUACAGUGACAUAGUACUGACUCCAUCCACCUCCAGAAACUUACUUGAAGUAGGAAUAUCUUACGUGAUGCUGUUACUUCCCAAGGUGGCACUGUGAAAAAGAAUUUCUCUGUUAUGCAACUAGCUAUAGUGUACUGUAGGGAAUGCUGCAUGUUUGGUUGUGAUAAAUGGAGGACUUGUUGUUCUUGGGUUUUCUUUUGUGCCCUCAUAGUCAUCCAGAGGCUUUCAUCUCAUCCAAGCUGUUAUUCUCUAUUCCAGGCUUGCAGCUAGAAUCAAGGCUGGGAAUUCUGAAGGACUGGGGAUGGUGUGAGUUCAUGAUCUCUGCCCAUAGACAGGUGUUGUCCUCAUCUGGGCAUCCUGGGUGCAGGAUUUGUAGAGUACUUCCCUGCAGCACAAGGAUUAUCUGGCCAGAAGUGUCCAUCCAUUUUCAGCACUGAAAAAGAUUGGCAGAAGAAGGCAGGGUCUGGCUUGGAGCAGGAGGCAAUGUCAUGAAUUGUGAAGCACUUUAGAUGGGAGCAGUCAAUGAUCUGUCCCCAAAGACAGGUGGUGUCUUCACCUACACAUCCUGUGUGCAGGCAUUGCAGAGCUCUGGACUCUGCAGCUGACAGAUUGUCUGGCCUGGAGGUGUCAAUCCCAGGGAUGUCUCCAUUUCCACUACUUAAAAAGAGUGAAGGAAGAAGACAGUGUCUGGUGAGUGAGAUGCUCCUCUCCUUUGAGUGCCCCUACAGCAUUGGGGCAGGGUUUCCUAUAGCUCUGCUUGAGUAGCAAGUGCAUCACCUUUGUUUGGAGACUCAUAGUACUCUUCAGUGUUUUGUGGUGACCAUGUAAUGUUGUGUCCUCUCAGAUGUUUGUGUGUUCCUUUGUGUUUGUGUGGUGUGUGCAUGCAUAGUGAUCACUGGUAGGUUACAGAAUUCCCUUGGCCUGUGGUCUUCCCUCACCCUCCCCUUUGUCUUUGAAAUAGUGCCUCUCCUUUCUUUGGAAGUUUGCUCUUAGGCAGGUCAUCGUGUCUAAAGGUUCCAAAACUUACAUGUGUCUUUAUCUUGUUUCAGUCUCUGUCAUUACUACUAUGUCCCCAGAAAGCUUGGUUUUUAUAGGUGGUUAGGUUACUGCACCCAAUUCCCCACUCCUGACAGCCCACCAGUUGUAGAACCCUGACUUUUAUCCAGCCCCACUUUUCAGAGACUUCUAUAAGUGGCAUGACAAUUAGUUUAAGGAGGUGAAAUCUUUGGGCUGGAGGGUUACUUUCUCCCAUCAUUGAGACAGAAUGAUUGGGAUGGGGAGCCAGAGGCAAAGCUAUCCUCUUGGGACUCCCAUUCUUCCUCUGUGUGGGUAUUAAGAUCUAAAAUAUUAUCCCACAUGGCUAUCAUGGACCUGGAGGAGAGGGUGGCAUUCUGGUCCAUGACAGUUACAGUGAAGUCUUUCCUGUCAGUGCUUUCUGUGAGAUCCCAUGGGAGAGCACUUGGAUAAGAGAGUGCUAAGGUAGAGAUCUGGUUCUGGCCAGUCAGUGCACUCAGCUUGUUCAUGCCAGCUCAUUGAUAAAGGUAGGCACUGUCCAUGAGCUGCUGGUCACAAGUGCUGGGAUCUGAUGGCAGGAGCCAUGCAGAACUCACAGCUGGUGUGGAGACCCUGGAGAAGUUGCACACACUUCCUGCUGAAGGUGUGGAAUUCCUCAGCACAGGCACAGAAGGCCUCAGAGCACAUUCUGUCCCAAAGAAUGGUGUGCUUUGGAAAUUUGGAAAUUAACUGUAGAAAGCAAGAGAACACUGAGAAAAUUGUGAGAUGGAAAUUUUGUAGCUUCCUGUGAAGAUCUGUGUUAUGGCCAGGUUGUCCUGUCUGGGUUUGUCUGUAACCCAUGUUCCCUCACAUAUCCCAAACAAAAGGAUUCAGAAUGCUUCUUGGUAUUGGAUUAGGAUGGAACUCAUUAGAUGAGCUGCCUGUCAUUCCUGUUUGGGCAUGGAAGUCCUAGAUGCUCCGUUUUUAUCCAGGCUUUCAUAUGGACACCACUGUUUUUUGCCCUGCUGUGCCUGCUGUGACACUCGCUUACAUCUGUGUGCCAGAUCAGAUGUGUUUACAGAUAGGAGAACCUUAGACAACCUGUCAUACUUAUUUGCCUUAAAAUUUUAACCUUAUGAAAGCUACUAACUUGUAAAAUAUAAUGAAAUUUAUUUUAAUGACAAACCUUAUUCAGCUUCCUGUAUAAGUCUUCAAGUUUAAAGUUUAAAACUGGUAACUGAAAAAGAAUGUUGAUUGCUGAUUUUGGGAAUUGAACCCUUUAACACAAAAGUUGUCAGUGUGAAAAUUAAGUUCUGAAAUGAGAAAAAUCAGAUUUACCGUCAAGCAUAUAUCCCCCCAAGUCUGCUUCCUCUUUCUGCUCUCCAUCUUUCUCCCUUUUCUCUCUUCUUUCCCUUUCUCUGCCUCCUCUCUCCUCUCC
rnacentral:lncRNA from 1 species